AACAGGGAUUGUCUUAGUAACGGCGAGUGAAGCGACAAAAGCUCAAAUUUGAAAUCUGGCACCUUCGGUGUCCGAGUUGUAAUUUGAAGAAGGUAACUUUGGAGUUGGCUCUUGUCUAUGUUCCUUGGAACAGGACGUCACAGAGGGUGAGAAUCCCGUGCGAUGAGAUGUCCAACUCUAUGUAAAGUGCUUUCGAAGAGUCGAGUUGUUUGGGAAUGCAGCUCUAAGUGGGUGGUAAAUUCCAUCUAAAGCUAAAUAUUGGCGAGAGACCGAUAGCGAACAAGUACAGUGAUGGAAAGAUGAAAAGAACUUUGAAAAGAGAGUGAAAAAGUACGUGAAAUUGUUGAAAGGGAAGGGUUUGAGAUCAGACUUGGUAUUUUGUAUGUCUUGCUUUCGGGUGGGGCCUCUGCAGUUUACUGGGCCAGCAUCGGUUUGGACGGUAGGAUAAUGACAUUGGAAUGUGGCACUACUUCGGUGGUGUGUUAUAGAC
rnacentral:rRNA from 1 species